GCUAAAGGAUGAGUAUUUAUCAAUAACAAUGUAAGCACAAUCCCUUCGAGUUCUAAUUCUAGAAUGUCAACUAACUACCUAUAUUCUAAAACCACGCAAUGUCCUUCAGAAAUAUAAGUUGAUAUGGAAAAGCCAUAGAGCCAAGGAUCACCCUCUAACAAGUAAAACAGCACUAAUAACAGGAAAUGAAGCAUUUUAAAUCACUAACACUCAACCAAUGCAUACAUAUGGCUAUUCAUGUCAUAAUAAUAUAAAA